rnacentral:lncRNA from 10 species
GCUGCUUCAACAGAAGAUGUUUUUGCUUUCAAAAAAAAAAAAUUGUGUAUGCCUUUUAAUCCAAAUGGCUGAAUUGCUGAUUCAAUCAGCAAACAUGGAACAGACUGAGAAAGUGCAGCGUGAGCUCCGAGACAGCAAAGAGGGCCAUGAACUUCAAGGAUGUUUAUGGAGCGAUUGCUGAAACCAGCUUUCUGAAGAGGCAACCACGGACACUUUCUCUGGACUUGACUCACUCAGGCAAGAAGAACCUUCCGGGCUGAGCUUCCAAGCCCCAGCCAGGGGAGAUGCAGGGCACGGAAGACCCCGCUGAGGCAGAUUGGAGAGCUCGGAGCUGCAGAGUCUGUUUGGCAUCUGCAACUCUCUCGGUGGAGAAACGCCUGCCCCCGCUAAGCAGUCAGUGCCUGCCUGGUCUCACUGGCUCCCAGGCAGCUUCUCCCCACCUCCCCUCUGUGUCCAGUGUGCUCCCGGCAGCCUGCCUUAUGACAGGUCUACAGGGACAUCUGUUGGUGAGCAGGCCCUGCCAGAUACCUGUUGACCCCCGCUGGGCAGGAAAAAUAACACAGAGAGGCUCUGAGGACCUGUGAAUGGUGUGGUGGGAGUGGGGGACAUAGCAGACACCCCUUACUCUGUAGAAUACCAGCUUUCCACUAAAGUGGGUGAUGGCAGGGAAUUCUGGCAGAGAAUACUGGUUUCUGAGAGCUCCUAGUAUAAAAUUGGAUCUGUGUCCCUAUGGAAAAUUCCACAUUACAGCAAGUGUGGCCCAGGGAGGGAGAAAGCCUCAGCUGGGCAUCACGGGAAUUGGUUUUGCCAGUCGGCAGCCCUGUGGCUCUGGCUAAGUCCCUUCCCCUCUGUGCCUCGGUCUCCCCAUUAGGAAAGUUCAGGAGGUUCAUGAGAUGAGAUCUGUGGCUCCAUAGCUUGAAUAUACACCAUGGAAGGUUGCUUUUUGGUUGUUUUUGAGACAGAGUCUUGCUCUGCCACCCAGGCUGAAGUGCAGUGGUACAAUCAUAGUGCACUGUAACUUUGAACUCCUGGCCUCAAGCAAUCCUCCUGCCUCAGCCUCCCAAAGUACUGGGAUUACAGGAAUGAGUCACUGCACAUGACCCUGGGAAGCUUUUUAAAAAGCAGAUUCCCAGACUGCACUCCCUGAAAUUCUGAUUCAGCCGGUUACAGGGGGCCCAGAAACCUGCCUGAGGCUCCUCCCAGAGGACCCCACUCCCUGGCUGCCUCUCAACCUGCAGUUUCAGGCAUCCCAGGGUGUCCCACUGUCUCCCAGGCCCCAGGGAGAAUCAGAAAGAGUGGGGGCACCGCAGGGAGCAGGCAGGAGG